rnacentral:rRNA from 1 species
UACGGGAGGCAGCAGUGGGGAAUAUUGCACAAUGGGCGCAAGCCUGAUGCAGCCAUGCCGCGUGUAUGAAGAAGGCCUUCGGGUUGUAAAGUACUUUUCAGUCGUGAGGAAGGUGUUAAGGUUAAUAACCUUAGCAAUUGACGUUAGCGACAGAAGAAGCACCGGCUAACUCCGUGCCAGCAGCCGCGGUAAUACGGAGGGUGCGAGCGUUAAUCGGAAUUACUGGGCGUAAAGGGCACGCAGGCGGUUAAUUAAGUUGGAUGUGAAAUCCCCGGGCUUAACCUGGGAAUGGCAUUCAAGACUGGUUAGCUAGAGUCUUGUAGAGGGGGUAGAAUUCCGAUGUGUAGCGGUGAAAUGCGUAGAGAUGUGGAGGAAUACCGGUGGCGAAAGCGGCCUCUAAACGAUACUGACACUGAGGUGCGAAAGCGUGGGGAGCAAACAGGGAUUAGAUACC